GACGAACGCUGGCGGUGUGCUUAACACAUGCAAGUCGUACGGCAAGGCCCUGCUUUUGUGGGGUGCUCGAGUCGCGAACGUGUGUGUAACAUGUGUGUUAUCUGCCCUUGACUUUGGGAUAACUUCAAGAAACUGGGGCUUAUACGGUAUAGGAGCUCCUGCUGCAUGGUUUGGGUUGGAAAGUUUCGGAGGUUGGGGUUGGACUCGCGGCUUAUCAGCUUGCUGGUUUGGUAGUGGCAUAGCAAGGCUUUGACUGGUAGCCGACCUGGGAGGUUGACCGGGCACAUUGGGACUGAGGUACGUCCCAGAGUCCUACGGGACGCAAGGGUGGAGAACAUUGCACAAUGGGCGGAAGCCUGAUGAAGCAGCGCCACGUGCGGGAUGACGGCCUUCAGGGUGUAAACCGCUUUCGCCGGUUACGAGACGUGAGUGACGGUAAUGGGUAAAGAAGCACCGGCUAACUACGUG
rnacentral:rRNA from 1 species